CAUUACAAUGAAAUCACCAUGCAUGCGCCCGAUCUCAUCAGAUCUCAGACGUUAAGCAGGUCUGAGCCUGUUCGGUACUUGGAUCGGAGACUGCCUGGGAGUAACAGAUGUUGUAGGCU
rnacentral:rRNA from 1 species